GACGAACGCUGGCGGCGUGCCUAAUACAUGCAAGUAGAACGCCGAAGAGAGGAGCUUGCUCUUCUUGGAUGAGUUGCGAACGGGUGAGUAACGCGUAGGUAACCUGCCUUGUAGCGGGGGAUAACUAUUGGAAACGACAGCUAAUACCGCAUAACAAUGGAUGACACAUGUCAUUUAUUUGAAAGGGGCAAUUGCUCCACUACAAGAUGGACCUGCGUUGUAUUAGCUAGUAGGUGAGGUAAUGGCUCACCUAGGCGACGAUACAUAGCCGACCUGAGAGGGUGAUCGGCCACACUGGGACUGAGACACGGCCCAGACUCCUACGGGAGGCAGCAGUAGGGAAUCUUCGGCAAUGGGGGCAACCCUGACCGAGCAACGCCGCGUGAGUGAAGAAGGUUUUCGGAUCGUAAAGCUCUGUUGUAAGUCAAGAACGGGUGUGAGAGUGGAAAGUUCACACUGUGACGGUAGCUUACCAGAAAGGGACGGCUAACUACGUG
rnacentral:rRNA from 1 species